rnacentral:rRNA from 1 species
UAAGGAAUAUUGGUCAAUGGACGCAAGUCUGAACCAGCCAUGCCGCGUGAAGGAUGAAGGUCCUCUGGAUUGUAAACUUCUUUUAUCUGGGACGAAAACGGGAUUUUUAUCUCAAUUGACGGUACCAGAGGAAUAAGCACCGGCUAACUCCGUGCCAGCAGCCGCGGUAAUACGGAGGGUGCGAGCGUUAUCCGGAUUUACUGGGUUUAAAGGGUGCGUAGGUGGGCUUAUAAGUCAGUGGUGAAAUCUCCGAGCUUAACUUGGAAACUGCCGUUGAUACUAUAGGUCUUGAAUUAUCUGGAGGUAAGCGGAAUAUGUCAUGUAGCGGUGAAAUGCUUAGAUAAUACAUAGAACAACAAUUGCGAAGGCAGCUUACUACAUAUAAAUUGACGCUGAGGCACGAAAGCGUGGGGAUCAAACA